rfam:Schistosoma mansoni, Puerto Rico, WGS project CABG01000000 data, contig: 0010
AUCCAGCUGGUGAGUCCCAAAUAGGACAGAACGCGUGUCCUGGAU